CACACUCUCUCUCUCUCUCUCAAUAUCUCAGAUCUGCCGCUACCCUCUCCAGCAAAGACUGACGGUAGUCCCGGCGACGGCCACCAUGACUCCUCCUCCAAAUUCGUAUCACCAUCGAUGGUAGUUGCACUCUCUCGCUCUGUCAAUUUCUUUUGAAACUAGAACACCCAUAUGGAGACUUGUCCCCAAAGUGUCUCGAUUUGCCAUAUCUUUAUCGAAUCACUGUCCCACUCUGUUCUUCUGGUUUAUCAAAGCGUUUCGGUAGGGUAUUUGGUGCUGGGCAAUGGCUAUGGUUAAGAAUGAAAGAGACUGCUCCGGCGCCAUCGACCACUUCAGGUACUUCAAUCUCUUCCUCAAUUAGUGUUUGUGUGAAAUUGAAGGUCUGGGUUUCAGUUUAAUUGUCAAGGGUAGGUAGUUUGUGCAUUGAAAUGAGUAAUUGGUGAUUUUAGGGUUUUCAAUUGAGUAAAAUUAAUUCUCAUGUUUAAUGGGUUUACUGGGUUUGAAUUAUUGAUGAAAAUCUUGAAUUAGAAUUGAGAGUUUGGGAUAUUUCAGUUCAAACUUUUGCUUCAGUUCUUCGAAAGUUUGAUAUCUCUUCUUUAUGCCCACCAGCUCUAUAUUUAAGUUUAUCAGUGUUUCUUUGAGGUAGUUCAUUGAAAGUAAUAGUUGCCUUGUUCAUAUAUAAUUGGACUUGUCCAAGUGGAAUACUUAUUUUAGCUCCAAAUUUGGGUUCUAUUAUCAAUUGUCAAUUCAUACAUUGUUUCCUAUGAGGUUUGGAAAUGGUUUUGGAUGGAUAUUUGUGUUUUCAAUACUAUUGUGAAUUUGAAAUGUGAGUUCAAUGCAAUGAAAUUUGAAUGUUGAAUAAAGCUUUGGUAAUGUGUUUUAUGAUUCAGAUUAGGUUGUCAACAAGUUUCUGUCUUAAGUUUGAGGCAUAUCAGUUGUUGAGCUAGUUUCUUUUCUCAUUUAUGUUUGUGAUUUGAUCAGAUUCAUAUUCAGUAAUGCUUUUGAAGAACUAGGGUUCAUGACAACGACAUAAUCUGAAUCUUUGUUUCCUAUGUUUUGUAAUCGUUUCUUGAACCUUAAACUUUUGUGAUUGUCUGUGUUUGGACUGAUGAGGAAAUUGUAAAAGCAGAUAGAAGACUAUAACUUCUUGCUGCUAAAAUAUCAAAUGUGUCCUUCUUUAAGGCAGAUUACUGCUACAGGUAUUUUAGUUUUUGUUGGGUUUUGCUCACAAGUUCCAAGGUGAUUUCUUUUCUCUUGGUUAAGCCUAGGGAGGUGUUAAUGGUGAUCCUCAUACUUUAAAUCUUAAAUUCAGUAGUGUAUUUAUUUGGUUAGCUAUAAGUCCAUAAGAUGUUCCUUAGAGUUUCAGAGUUUGAUUUUGAUGUCGAAAUUUAGGAGCAUUCUUUGUCCAUACAAGAUAUAUCUGGGAUUUGAAGCCACUUAACUUCAAGCAGAACCAUGAUUGCAGUAGAUUGGACGUUGGUUUACAAUUGGUUUCCUAAAUUUUUUUUUUUUUUCUAAUAGCACAUGUUAAACUGCAUAUUUCUUUGUAAAUUUUUCUUGGGUUUUUGUUGGAAUAGAACAUAUUAAGACUGCAAGUAUUAGGAUUACAAGUGUUUUAUCUUUGAAAAUUGAUGGUCAGGAAUUCAAAAGCUUAUAAGAAUUGAAGCUGCAAAUAAGGAAAGGAUAUGUACCUGUUCAUAUAAUUCAAAGUUGAAUAUUAAUAUCCUUAUCUGGAUUUCUUGUUAACACUUAAGCAGAGUUUUUGAGAAAACAUCAACCAUGGCUCUAGAAGAAUGUUAUUCACAUCGAUAUGUUGUUGAUGAUGUACAUCAUUUAACAAUAUAUGCUGCCUGAAGAUUGUCUGAGUUCAGAGAAUGACUUGCAUGCAGCCAUGAUGGAAUUGAUAUAGAUCAUAACUUAGUUGAUAGGAAUUUGUAGCUUGAACUUCUAGAAACAGUUUUGGGGUUUGUUUAUGUAUUGCUGGAUAUUGGAACCUUAGAGAUUGUUUAAUGAAAAAGCUAUAUUGACAGUGUGAUGACUGUGAU